AACGGUAUAGUUUAAUUAAGAGUACGCGCUCUGCAAGCGCGAGGUGGAGUAAUUCUUGCUGUUG
rnacentral:tRNA from 1 species